GUAUAUAUGUAAACAUGUAUGCAUAUAUAUAUACACACACACACACGCACACAUAUGUUUACAGGUUUGCACACAGAAACCUUCAAAAGUCACAUUCACAUAAAUAUAGCUUCUUAAUCUAUGUGUGAUCCCCUAUUCUCCAUCUCUUCUUCACAUUGCCCCUUGCUACACGCUUUCACCAGACAUUACAUUCAUUAGUGACCCCUAUUCUUUCUGAAUGCUAGCAUUCAAUGAUUCCUGGAUGGCUGGUCUCCUGCUCUGCUAAUCAUCCUGUUGUCCGUCUCAUUGCUAACGAAAGACAGAUGAGGUCGGUGUCGACUGAAGAGGACAAAAUUUACUUGACAAGAUUUCAAUAAAGGCCUUUUUCAAAAACGUGUCAGUAUGUGGGUGUGUGUGUCUGACUAUCAAAUGAUACACGUCAGGUGAAAAUAGCAAACUUAAUAGUGAUAUGUACAUUUAUGUCUGUGUAUAUAAACAGGAACAUAUAUUAACAUACAUGUACAAUUAUAUGUGUUUGCGUGUCUAUAUAUAUAUACACACAUAUAUACAAACAUGUAUAUACACAGAGACAUACUUACAGGGGUGUGUGUAUACAUACACACACAUAUAUAUUCUUCUCUGUAUACACAUAAAUAUAAACACAUGCACAUUCAUAUAUAUAUAUCAGAAUACAGAUGCACAUAUACAUAAAUGUAGAUGUAUAAAUAUACACAUAAAUACUCAUAUAUAUACAAAUGAAUACAUAUAAUAUGUGUUUAUGUGUAUAUUUUUUAUAAAUAUAUAUAUGUGUGUGUGUGUGUGUAUUGUUAUAUAUAUAUAUAUAUAUGUAUGUAUGUGUAUGUAUAUGUGAGUGUGUGUAUAUAUAUGCAUGUAUCUAUAUUGUAAAAUUUCUUUGUGUAUUGUAUAGGCAGCAGUUUGAAGUGCUCAGAUAAAAGCCCGAGAUGCAAGAUAGAGAAACAGCUUCAACAAUGGAUAGACACAUAUAUUCCACCAUGGAUUGAUAUCAGUUUUGAAAUAGACGAAUGUAUCAGUCAUCAAAAUGUUAAAACGUAUUAAAAAUCUAUGAAUACAGAAAUAUUUGAAAAUUUAAUAAACACAUAUAGAUAGAUGAAUGGGAUUAAGUUAUAAACAUGUAGAUGUACAAAGAGAUAUAUAUAUAGAGACAUUUAGAAUUACAAUCGUAUUAAAAGCCAUUUUAGAACAGCAUUGUAGAAGUUAUUUAAUGAUAAAUUUGCCCCUACGAAAAGGCAAGUGGAAUAAAGUCAUAGGAAAAGAGCGAAUAAAGAAAUGUUGUAGCGGUUAGAUUGCAUUUUUCAAAAAACAGAUCAAUAAUUCAAGAGAAUAGGUAAUUCUCUUUAGAUAACGCUGUUGGUGGUAGGGCUCUUAUGGCCAUUUCAGGGGACACAGUAAUCCAUGGAGAGUAUAAAGUUGGGGAUUCAUAUUUUGGGCAUUUCUUACGUUUCAUAACAAGACUACCAUCAACAGUUUGUGUGUGUGUAUAUAUACACACACAUACA
rnacentral:lncRNA from 1 species